UUAUGGUAGAGGCGCGAGGUUCAUCAGUACUUUGUGGGAUGUUUCAGAACAGUUGAACAUAAAGGAAAGGGUGCAUCGCCGAAGGUUUUUCCGAGUCUGAACCGGAGAUUCCUGGGUAUGCAGCGAACAGCUGUAUAACUGUCAUCGCAAGAUGGAGUGCUACUG
rnacentral:ncRNA from 1 species